AUUGAACGCUGGCGGCAGGCCUAACACAUGCAAGUCGAGCGGAUGAAGGUGGCUUGUUCCUUGAUUCAGCGGCGGACGGGUGAGUAAUGCCUAGGAAUCUGCCACGUGGUCGUGGAUAACGUACGGAAACGAGCGCUAAUACCGCAUACGUCCUGCGGGAGAAACUGGGCGUUCUUCGGACAUCACGCUAUCAGAUGAGCCUUGUGCGGAUUAGCUAGUUGGUGGGUUAAAGGCCUACCAAGGCUUCGAGCCGUACCUGGCUUGAGAGGUGGACCAGUCAAACGGGAACGGGGACACGGCCCAGACUCUUACGGGAGGAGGCAGUGGGGAAUAUUGGACAAGGGGCGAAGUCCGGAUCCAGCACGGCCGCGUGUGGGAAGCAGGUUUUGGGAUGUUAAAGCAUGUUAAGCGGGGAGAAAGGGCAGUAAGUUAAUACCUUGCUGGUUUGACGUUACCAACAGAAUAAGCACCGGCUAACUUCGUG
rnacentral:rRNA from 1 species